rnacentral:rRNA from 1 species
GACGAACGCUGGCGGCGUGCUUAACACAUGCAAGUCGAACGGAAAGGCCCUGCUUUUGUGGGGUGCUCGAGUGGCGAACGGGUGAGUAACACGUGAGUAACCUGCCCUUGACUUUGGGAUAACUUCAGGAAACUGGGGCUAAUACCGGAUAGGAGCUCCUGCUGCAUGGUGGGGGUUGGAAAGUUUCGGCGGUUGGGGAUGGACUCGCGGCUUAUCAGCUUGUUGGUGGGGUAGUGGCUUACCAAGGCUUUGACGGGUAGCCGGCCUGAGAGGUUGACCGGCCACAUUGGGACUGAGAUACGGCCCAUACGCCUACGGGAGGCAGCAGUGGGGAAUAUUGCACAAUGGGCGGAAGCCUGAUGCAGCAACGCCGCGUGCGAGAUGACGGCCUUCGGGUUGUAAACCGCUUUCGCCUGUGACGAAGCGUGAGUGACGGUAAUGGGUAAAGAAGCACCGGCUAACUACGU